rnacentral:tRNA from 1 species
CAAAAUGUGGCUAAAUAGAUAAAGCACCUCUCUUACACUGAGGAAUUGUCCGUGCAAGUCGAACCAUUUUGA